rnacentral:rRNA from 1 species
AUUGAACGCUGGCGGCAGGCCUAACACAUGCAAGUCGAGCGGAUGAAGGGAGCUUGCUCCUGGAUUCAGCGGCGGACGGGUGUGUAAUGCCUAGGAAUCUGCCUGGUAGUGGGGGAUAACGUCCGGAAACGGGCGCUAAUACCGCAUACGUCCUGAGGGAGAAAGUGGGGGAUCUUCGGACCUCACGCUAUCAGAUGAGCCUAGGUCGGAUUAGCUAGUUGGUGGGGUAAAGGCCUACCAAGGCGACGAUCCGUAACUGGUCUGAGAGGCUGAUCAGUCACACUGGAACUGAGACACGGUCCAGACUCCUACGGGAGGCAGCAGUGGGGAAUAUUGGACAAUGGGCGAAAGCCUGAUCCAGCCAUGCCGCGUGUGUGAAGAAGGUCUUCGGAUUGUAAAGCACUUUAAGUUGGGAGGAAGGGCAGUAAGUUAAUACCUUGCUGUUUUGACGUUACCAACAGAAUAAGCACCGGCUAACUUCGUG